GCCACUGUGGUGUAGUGAUUUGAGUGUUAGACUACAGUUCUGGAGACCAGGGUUGGAAUCCCUGCUUGACC